rfam:Cavia porcellus supercont2_28 genomic scaffold, whole genome shotgun sequence.
AUCCUUCAGUUCUUGAGCAUGAUGACUGGGUGUUCACACUGUAUGCGUGAGAUGUGCCUCCCUCAAGCCUUGUUAUGACGUCAGCACAUUACCCAUCUGAUU